UAUUCAGUUGUAUUAGCCCAAUAUUGACUUGGUGAAAAGUGCAUCGAUGUGAUUGAGUUGUGAUGUAUGACAAUUGAUGACAAAUGAUCGUGAUCCAUGUGAAGUGUUUCUCCUCGUGUCAAAAACACGAUUUGUUGACUAAUCAUAAAGCGUAAGUUUGUUUUAUUUACUUACCUGUUCUGUAAUGAGUAAUAUGUGUCUAAUUGUUUAUUGUGUAACCGUUAAGUGAUACAUUUCUUGUUAAAUACAGAGGGGAGAAAGAAAAGUGCUUUAUAGGCCAUCUGUGAGAUCCAAAUUGUGUUCAUCAGUACAGAAGAGUCUAAAGUCCACUACCGUUGUUUUUUUUGUUAUCCUAAAAAAGCCACAUUUAUGUAUUUUUGCUUUGUUUUUGUGCUUUUGCAAAAUUCAUAGAUUUAACAGGGGAAGCUAAUUCCAUUUUUUUUUGUCUUUUACAUUUAUUUUUGUCCUGCUCUGGUUUCUAAAACAUUUUCAACCCCAAAAAGCCAAAGCUAUUGUUAAUGCUGUGUCCCUAUGGUCACAGUCGGAAAUAAAAGACCCUUAAUUUAAGUUUGCCUGUGUUUU
ensembl:lncRNA